rnacentral:tRNA from 1 species
GGCAGUGUAGCACAGUGGGUAAGGAACUGGGCUUGUAACCGAAAGGUCAUAGGUUCGAGUCCUGGGUGGGUGCCC